UCGCAAGACUUUCGAUAGUGGCGGACGGGUGAGUAACACGUAGGAAUCUACCUUUGAGAGUAGGAUAACCCGGGGAAACCCGGAUUAAUACUGCAUACGACCUGAGGGUGAAAGGAGGCUGGGUAACCAGCUUACGCUCAAAGAUGAGCCUGCGUUGGAUUAGCUAGUUGGUGGGGUAAAAGCCUACCAAGGCGAUGAUCCAUAGCUGGUCUGAGAGGACGGACAGCCACACUGGGACUGAGACACGGCCCAGACUCCUACGGGAGGCAGCAGUGGGGAAUAUUGGACAAUGGGGGAAACCCUGAUCCAGCGAUGCCGCGUGUGUGAAGAAGGCCUUCGGGUUGUAAAGCACUUUUGUUGGGGAGGAAGUGAGCGGUCUGAAUAAGGCCGUUCAUUGACGUUACCUAAAGAAUAAGCACCGGCUAACUCUGUGCCAGCAGCCGCGGUAAUACAGAGGGUGCGAGCGUUAAUCGGAAUUACUGGGCGUAAAGGGCGUGUAGGCGGGACGAUAAGUCGGAUGUGAAAGACCUGGGCUUAACCUGGGUUGGUCAUUCGAAACUGCCGUUCUAGAGUGAAGUAGAGGGUAGUGGAAUUUCCGGUGUAGCGGUGAAAUGCGUAGAUAUCGGAAGGAACACCAGUGGCGAAGGCGGCUACCUGGACUUUAACUGACGCUGAGGCGCGAAAGCGUGGGGAGUGAACAGGAUUAGAUACCCUGGUAAUCCACGCUGUAAACGAUGAGAACUAGCUGUUGGUGGGGUAAAACCCGUCGGUAGCGAAGCUAACGCGAUAAGUUCUCCGCCUGGGGAGUAC
rnacentral:rRNA from 1 species